UCUGGAGCAGGGGCAGACAGGUUUUCAACAUCUGCAAAAGGGAUAUUGCUUAAGAAAGGAAAAUAAGGCUGAGGGCGGAGCCAGGAGAAACUUCUUUUGGUCAAAUCUCUCAAUAAAUAUUUGUGUUGCUGAUAAAAGUUUGUGCAUUUGCAAUUAGGAAUCGCACGACUUUGUUCUUGUGGUAUGGUUGAGGGAAACAAGGGUUGCAAAAUUCUCCAACCUGUAGGACAGGUUUGGGUUUCUUUUCAGAGGUGAGGUGAAGAGGUAGCUUUUGAAGAACUCUUUAGGGUAACUCAUUUGACAGCUGUCCAACUGAUCUGCACAGGACUACCCUCUGUUAGAGCUGUACAUGAUCUUUCUUUUCCCCCAUAGAGAAAGAUAUAAGGGAAUAAAUGCAAAAUGUCGAGUCAUUAGGGAAUACAUUAAAUAUACUAAUGAGUAGGGUAAGUAAGGAGGUCGAGGCAGGAUCCAUAUCAGAUUCAGGAAAGGGAUAAGGCUCCGUGUACAGGCAGCAUGAGCAACCAAGACUGCACGUUAGGGCGGGCCAAGGCGAGGAAAGGCGCAGAGUUCACCCCAAGAGGAGACUUUCCCCCUCAUCAGAAAUGAAGGAAAUAGUUGCUGGAGCUGGCUUCUCUCAAAUAUCAAAUGUUUGGAAAUUAACUAAGCCAGUAUUUAAUUAGAGCUAUGAUUAAAACUUAAAAUAUUAAUUUGCAAAUAAGUAACUUAUAGCAGUCCCCUCACUUUUUCCUGGCCGGGGUGGUUUACACUCCAAGACCUCUUUGGAUGCCUAAAACCAGAUAGCACUGAACCUUACAUACAAAAUAUCAAUACUGUGAGAGUCAAUCCGAUAACCAAGACAAGUAAAUGCCUAACAGGUCAUGGCUGGCUAUGAGCACCUGAAACUGUGGAAGGUGAAACUGCUGAUGGGGGAAAUACUGUACACUUAAAAAGAAAGACAGCGACACUUCUCCCGGGAUGAGGGAGCCUUCGAGAAGAAGACACAAGGCUGGAACUGCCCCUCAUGCUCUGCUGCCCCCUCCACGCAUGUCACAGCACAGGGGACACAGAGGCCCCUGGACAGAACCUGGCAGCAACUUCCUCCUAACCACUGCCCUUCACCUUUCUCAAGAGAAUAAAAGGGAGAAGCACAGUAGCUCUAAGUAAAGUGCUGACGGAAAAGCUUACAACUUAUAUCUGCCAACAGACGUUACCUUCUAACUUUAUUGUGCUUUUCUGAUGUCCCACAAGACAAAGUUUCGAGACAACUGAUUUUUUAACUCUUUGAAGUGCUGAAACUUGCUUUUCAAAAAUGAGUCUGCUGUAGUAGAAAAUAUUUCUAAGGCAAAUUAAGCCCAUUCUUGUCUUCAUCUAUUGAAGACUACCUACACCCUAACCUUCGCCUCCUCCUCGCUGCUGCUCACCGCUGAUUUGCUCUGAGGUAACCAGGUAUUCACGUCAAUGGUUUUGUUUUCUUGUCUUAGGAAAGGAUUUGAGCAGAGUCAUGAAGACAAAUCAGACUUCAACAGGCGGGGGGCAGGGGGACGAAAGCCAAGGGGAGGCCACACAGGGCAGUAGAUCUCACAUCAGAUUUAAUGGCAAUAAAUUGUUGACCAGUUUCAUUACCUCAUGCUAUCAGAGUCUCUGUUUCAGCUUGGUUAGCUAAUACACCAAGGAGCUAUAAAUAAUGUUCCAGAAAAAUGACACAUUUUAAAAUAAUAAUUACAUUUCCUGUCUUAUUCAAUAUUUCUACUGUAUUAAAAUGAAAAAGCUUGUCCUAUUAGUGUGGUUUUUCACUUCAUUUCUGAUCCUGUUUUUUUCU